UGGGGAAUAUUGCACAAUGGGCGAAAGCCUGAUGCAGCAACGCCGCGUGAGUGAUGAAGGCCUUCGGGUUGUAAAGCUCUGUCUUUUGGGACGAUAAUGACGGUACCAAAGGAGGAAGCCACGGCUAACUACGUGCCAGCAGCCGCGGUAAUACGUAGGUGGCAAGCGUUGUCCGGAUUUACUGGGCGUAAAGGAUGCGUAGGCGGAUUUUUAAGUGAGAUGUGAAAUACCCGGGCUUAACUUGGGUGCUGCAUUUCAAACUGGGAAUCUAGAGUGCGGGAGAGGAGAAUGGAAUUCCUAGUGUAGCGGUGAAAUGCGUAGAGAUUAGGAAGAACACCAGUGGCAGCAGGACGGCAUGAUCUCUGGACCGUAACUGACGCUGAGGCAUGAAAGCGUGGGUAGCAAACAGGAUUAGAUACCCUGGUAGUCCACGCCGUAAACGAUGAGUACUAGGUGUAGGAGGUAUCGACCCCUUCUGUGCCGCAGUUAACACAAUAAGUACUCCGCCUGGGAAGUACGAUCGCAAGA
rnacentral:rRNA from 1 species